GGAAAGAUGCAGGAGUGGUUUAACUGGAUCGCCUGGAAAGCGGUUGUGUGUGAAAAUGCACCGAGAGUUCGAAUCUCUCUCUUUCCG
rnacentral:tRNA from 1 species